UUUAUAUUUAAUUUUACUUAAUUUUGAAACUUAUACACUUAAAAGUAUUUAUUUUAUUAAUAAAUUCAAAGUAAAUUUCAAAAAUCUGUAUACAUAAUCGUGUAAAUUACUCCAUCGUGUAUUAUUAUACAUGAUCGUGAUGGUGUUGCGAUGACUUUGGAUCCAAAUUAAAGAAGGUUGCCCUUAUCAAUCAUCAUCAAAUUCCCAAGCGAAACCAUCUUCACUCAUUCACUCAAUCGACCACCACGGAUUCAAUCUUCAAUAGUGCUUUAAUUACACCCUCUUAAAGAUUGAAUCUAUACGUUUCAAACUAUCCAACAGUAUUGUGACACGUAGAAUACGCUUCACCGACGAACCGUGUCACAAGCUUGAAUCUUAUUGCUGCUCCACCACUUCCAUUAUCGUAAUCAGAUUGCAUCUAUUUCUUCCCUUCAAUCUUUCAUUAAAUCUCUUUCCUCGCUCUCCACCUCCUGUGUUGCAGAAGCUGCUCCCUUCACUGACAUAAUCGCCAACAGUUCAUUUGGAAAAUUAAAUCACGAAUAUCCUUUUAGUUCUGAGGGAUGAAGAUGUGAUGUCGUAGGUAUAAUCUGUAACUAAAGACCAAAGAAAGUAAAGUUAAGAGUUCAGAAUGGGAUUCGUGGUGGUGAUAUCAUUGCCGUUAAUAUUGAUCAUCUUGAUAUUGGCUUUGGGGUGUUACCUGUGUGGCCGGGCCAAGGGUCGGCGACAAAACCCACAGCAGUAUGGGCCUCCUGCUCCUCCAGUACAGGCCCAACCCAAAUAAUGCCUACCUUGUGGUUCAUAGCUUAAUCUUGAAUAAAAUAGUAGAGCAUUGAAAUUUGUUUCCACAUUAGUGGGUAUAUUUGGUGAUUAAAUAUUUAAGUUCAUGACUUCAAAAAAAAAAAAUGAAGUAAAAUUAAUUAGUUAUUUGAUUUUCGUGUUUAAA